UGUGUCUUGACUAAUGUGUCUUGGCUAAUGUGUCUUGGCUAAGGUGUCUUGGCUAAUGUGUCUUGGCUAAGGUGUCUUGGCUAAUGUGUCUUGGCUAAUGUGUCUUGGCUAAUGUGUCUUGGCAAAUGUGUCUUGGCUAAGGUGUCUUGGCUAAUGUGUCUUGGCUAAUGUGUCUUGGCUAAGGUGUCUUCUCUAAUGUGUCUUGGCUAAGGUGUCUUGGCUAAGGUGUCUUGGCUAAGGUGUCUUGGCUAAGGUGUCUCGGCUAAUGUGUCUUGGCUAAAGUGUCUUGGCUAAGGUGUCUUGGCUAAGGUGUCUUGGCUAAUGUGUCUUGGCUAAGGUGUCUUGGCUAAUGUGUCUUGGCUAAGGUGUCUUAGCUAAGGUGUCUUGGCUAAUGUGUCUUGGCUAAGGUGUCUUGGCUAAGGUGUCUUGGCUAAGGUGUCUUGGCUAAUGUGUCUUGGCUAUGGUGUCUUGGCUAAUGUGUCUUGGCUAAGGUGUCUUAGCUAAGGUGUCUUGGCUAAGGUGUCUUGGCUAAGGUGUCUUGGCUAAGGUGUCUCGGCUAAGGUGUCUUGGCUAAUGUGUCUCGGCUGAGGUGUCUUGGCUAAGGUGUCUUGGCUAAGGUGUCUUGGCUAAGGUGUCUUGGCUAAGGUGUCUUGGCUUAGGUGUCUUGGCUAAUGUGUCUCGGCUAAAGUGUGUUGGCUAAGGUGUCUUUGCUAAGGUGUCUUGGCUAAGGUGUCUUGGCUAAGGUGUCUUGGCUAAUGUGUCUCGGCUAAGGUGUCUUGGCUAAUGUGUCUUGGCUAAGGUGUCUUGGCUAAUGUGUCUUGGCUAAUGUGUCUUGGCUAAGGUGUCUUGGCUAAGGUGUCUUGGCUAAGGUGUCUUGGCUAAGGUGUCUUGGCUUAGGUGUCUUGGCUAAUGUGUCUCGGCUAAAGUGUGUUGGCUAAGGUGUCUUGGCUAAGGUGUGUUGGCUAAGGUGUCUUGGCUAAGGUGUCUUGGCUAAUGUGUCUCGGCUAAGGUGUCUUGGCUAAUGUGUCUUGGCUAAGGUGUCUUGGCUAAUGUGUCUUGGCUAAGGUGUCUUGGCUAAGGUGUCUCGGCUAAGGUGUCUUGGCUAAUGUGUCUCGGCUGAGGUGUCUUGGCUAAGGUGUCUUGGCUAAGGUGUCUUGGCUAAGGUGUCUUGGCUAAGGUGUCUUGGCUAAGGUGUCUUGGCUUAGGUGUCUUGGCUAAUGUGUCUCGGCUAAAGUGUGUUGGCUAAGGUGUCUUGGCUAAGGUGUCUUGGCUAAGGUGUCUUGGCUAAUGUGUCUUGGCUAAGGUGUCUUGGCUAAUGUGUCUUGGCUAAGGUGUCUUAGCUAAGGUGUCUUGGCUAAGGUGUCUUGGCUAAGGUGUCUUGGCUAAGGUGUCUCGGCUAAGGUGUCUUGGCUAAUGUGUCUCGGCUGAGGUGUCUUGGCUAAGGUGUCUUGGCUAAGGUGUCUUGGCUAAGGUGUCUUGGCUAAGGUGUCUUGGCUAAGGUGUCUUGGCUAAUGUGUCUCGGCUAAAGUGUGUUUGCUAAGGUGUCUUGGCUAAGGUGUCUCGGCUAAGGUGUCUUGGCUAAGGUGUCUUGGCUAAUGUGUCUCGGCUAUUGUGUCUUGGCUAAGGUGUCUUGGCUAAGGUGUCUUGGCUAAUGUGUCUUGGCUAAGGUGUCUUGGCUAAGGUGUCUUGGCUAAGGUGUCUCGGCUAAUGUGUCUUGGCUAAAGUGUCUUGGCUAAGGUGUCUUGGCUAAGGUGUCUUGGCUAAUGUGUCUUGGCUAAGGUGUCUUGGCUAAGGUGUGUUGGCUAAGGUGUCUUAGCUAAGGUGUCUUGGCUAAUGUGUUUUGGCUAAGGUGUCUUGGCUAAGGUGUCUUGGCUAAGGUGUCUUGGCUAAGGUGUCUUGGCUAAGGUGUCUUGGCUAAGGUGUCUUGGCUAAGGUGUCUUGGCUAAGGUGUCUUGGCUAAUGUAUCUCGGCUAAAGUGUCUUGGCUAAGGUGUCUUGGCUAAGGUGUCUUGGCUAAGGUGUCUUGGCUAAGGUGUCUUGGCUAAGGUGUCUUGGCUAAGGUGUCUUGGCUAAUGUGUCUCGGCUAAUGUGUCUCGGCUAAGGUGUCUUGGCUAAGGUGUCUUGGCUAAGGUGUCUUGGCUAAGGUGUCUUGGCUAAGGUGUCUUGGCUAAUGUGUCUCGGCUAAAGUGUCUUGGCUAAGGUGUCUUGGCUAAGGUGUCUUGGCUAAGGUGUCUUGGCUAAUGUGUCUUGGCUAAGGUGUCUUGGCUAAUGUGUCUUGGCUAAGGUGUCUUAGCUAAGGUGUCUUGGCUAAGGUGUCUUGGCUAAGGUGUCUUGGCUAAUGUGUCUUGGCUAAGGUGUCUUGGCUAAUGUGUUUUGGCUUAUGUGUCUUGGCUUAUGUGUCUUGGCUAAUGUGUCUUGGCUAAGGUGUCUUGGCUAAUGUGUCUUGGCUAAGGUGUCUUGGCUAAGGUGUCUUUACUAAAGUGUCUCGGCUAAUGUGUCUUGGCUAAUGUGUCUUGGCUAAGGUGUCUUGGCUAAGGUGUCUUGGCUAAGGUGUCUUGGCUAAUGUGUCUUGGCUAAUGUGUCUUGGCUAAGGUGUCUUGGCUAAGGUGUCUUGGCUAAUGUGUCUUGGCUAAGGUGUCUUGGCUAAGGUGUCUUGGCUAAGGUGUCUUGGCUAAGGUGUCUUGGCUAAUGUGUCUUGGCUAAUGUGUCUUGGCUAAGGUGUCUUGACUAAUGUGUCUCGGCUAAUGUGUCUUGGCUAAUGUGUCUUGGCUAAUGUGUCUAGGCUAAGGUAUCGUGGCUUAUGUGUCUUGGCUAAUGUGACUUGGCUAAGGUGUCUUGGCUAAUGUGUCUCGGCUUAUGUGUCUUGGCUAAUGUGUCUUGGCUAAUGUGUUUCGGCUAAGGUGUCUUGGCUAAGGUGUCUCGGCUAAUGUGUCUUGGCUAAUGUGUCUUGGCUAAGGUGUCUUGGCUAAGGUGUCUUGGCUAAUGUGUUUCGGCUAAGGUGUCUUGGCUAAGGUGUCUUGGCUAAGGUGUCUUGGCUAAUGUGU